AUCGUGCCGAAGCUAACGCGAUAAGCAAUCCGCCUGGGGAGUACGGUCGCAAGACUGAAACUCAAAGGAAUUGACGGGGGCCCGCACAAGCGGUGGAGCAUGUGGUUCAAUUCGACGCAACGCGAAGAACCUUACCUGGGCUCGAAAUGUAGUGGACCGGGGUAGAAAUAUCCCUUUCCGCAAGGACUGCUAUAUAGGUGCUGCAUGGCUGUCGUCAGCUCGUGUCGUGAGAUGUUGGGUUAAGUCCCGCAACGAGCGCAACCCUUAUCUUUAGUUGCCAUUAGGUCAAGCUGGGCACUCUAACGAAACCGCGUAGGAUAACUACGAGGAAGGUGGGGAUGACGUCAAGUCCUCAUGGCCUUUAUGUCCAGGGCUACACACGUGCUACAAUGCGCGAUACAAAACGUCGCAAACCCGCGAGGGGGAGCUAAUCGGAAAAAGUCGCGCUCAGUUCGGAUUGGAGUCUGCAAUUCGACUCCAUGAAGCUGGAAUCGCUAGUAAUCGCGGAUCAGAACGCCGCGGUGAAUACGUUCCCGGGCCUUGUACACACCGCCCGUCACAUCACGAAAGUGGACUGCACUAGAAGUCGGCGUGCUAACCGCAAGGAGGCAGCCGC
rnacentral:rRNA from 1 species